UACGGAGGGUGCGAGCGUUGUCCGGAAUCACUGGGCGUAAAGGGCGCGUAGGCGGCAUGCCAAGCGUGUGGUGAAAGCCCGGGGCUCAACCCCGGGUCGGCCGUGCGGACUGGCGUGCUCGAGCACUGUAGGGGCGGGUGGAAUUCCGGGUGUAGCGGUGGAAUGCGUAGAGAUCCGGAAGAACAUCAGUGGCGAAGGCGGCCUGCUGGGCUGUUGCUGACGCUGAGGCGCGACAGCGUGGGGAGCAAACAGG
rnacentral:rRNA from 1 species